rnacentral:rRNA from 1 species
CUCCCUACGGGAGGCAGCAGUGGGGAAUAUUGCGCAAUGGGGGAAACCCUGAUGCAGCAACGCCGCGUGAGUGAAGAAGUAUUUCGGUAUGUAAAGCUCUAUCAGCAGGGAAGAAGAUGACGGUACCUGAUUAAGAAGCCCCGGCUAACUACGUGCCAGCAGCCGCGGUAAUACGUAGGUGGCAAGCGUUGUCCGGAUUUACUGGGUGUAAAGGGCGUGUAGCCGGGCUGACAAGUCAGAUGUGAAAUUCCGGGGCUCAACCCCGGACCUGCAUUUGAAACUGUUGGUCUUGAGUAUCGGAGAGG